CAGAUGUUUGUUUGCUAACGGUGGCUUCCUCAAGCAGUCAGAGCCAAGGCUCAGUACCUUCAUCAACCAGUCUGUCCAGCUUAACAUGAAAGGAUAAGGGACAUUUGGGCUUCCUCAGUUCCUGAAACCAAUCAUUCAACCCUGGAAACCUAAGACCUAGUGAGCCUGAGAGAUGGCUGAUGGGAGCAAGAGAAGCCCUGCCUGAGAGGGAACUACAUGGCCAUUUGCUGGGAAUGGGCUCUGGAGAACUGAGGCUGGCCCUGGUAACUGCAGGAUCUCAAGAGAAGACGUGACACGGGGAGUGUGUGGACUCGUGCUGAGCAGUGCACUUUAUCAGUACCUGUAAUCCCUUCAUCACCUCGCUCAGUGUGCAGUAUUUACUGAACUGAAUCUGUAUCAAAUUUAAAACUGGGCUUGAAGCAAAUAGCUGAUGUGUUAGAAGACAAUACAUCAGGUGAAUCGUAAGUUUUCUUUGUUUAAUUUUACCUUUGUUAUCCUUUUAAAUGAAUGCAGUUUUUUUUUAAAGUACCUCAUAAGAUUUUUGCAAAAACUAAAUGAAAUCAUAUGAAACAAUUAACACAAUCAGAGCAUAGCAUUCAAUAAAUUCAUGUGAUAAUAAUGAUGAUACA
rnacentral:lncRNA from 1 species